AGGCCAGCGUCCGGGCUCCCGCCGGUUUCCUGUCGUUUUCCCGUGGACGGGUCCUGGAGCUCCGAAUGAAGCGACUGCUCUGCCGUCGGGGCCUGAUUCUCCCCCGCAAAGUUGGGCGGCUGGGCCCUGACCCCUGAGGGGUCCAGCUGAGGUCCAGCCCUCCAUAAACUCCGUGAGCCUUAUCCAGCAACCGCGGCAGCUGCUGAUUUCCCGGGUCCGCGAAGACGCGUCCCUCCCGGUCUGCCUGCAGGAGCUCCUACUCGUUCUCUGAAGCCCAGCCGCAGCGGGCCCCAGGAAGUCUGUGCCCCCUCCUAGGUGAGGGCAGGUGGGCCUCGCCGGCCUCCCGGCCUCUGAACUACAGCAUGUCAUGGGCAACUGCGCCGGAAUUCAGUCAUUAAAAGAUGCUUCCUGUGUCUCAG
ensembl:lncRNA